UCUAACAUGUGCGCGAGUCAUUGGGACUGCAAAGCCUAAAGGCGCAAUGAAAGUGAAGGUCGAUCUCCGCGUCGACCGAGGGAGGAUGGCUCGCGUCACGAUGCGAGUCCGCACUCCCGGGGCGUCUCGUGCUCAACGCGAGCAGAGGCGCACCCAGAGCGUACACGUUGGGACCCGAAAGAUGGUGAACUAUGCCUGGUCAGGACGAAGUCAGGGGAAACCCUGAUGGAGGUCCGUAGCGAUUCUGACGUGCAAAUCGAUCGUCGGAACUGGGUAUAGGGGCGAAAGACUAAUCGAACCAUCUAGUAGCUGGUUCCCUCCGAAGUUUCCCUCAGGAUAGCUGGCACUCGCGUGAGCGAGUCUCAUCUGGUAAAGCGAAUGAUUAGAGGCCUUGGGGCCGAAACGACCUCAACCUAUUCUCAAACUUUAAAUGGGUGAGAUCUCUGGCUUGCUUGAACGUUGAAGCCACGAGAUAUUAUUUUUUUACGGAUCAGAGUGCCAAGUGGGCCAAUUUU
rnacentral:rRNA from 1 species